AUUUUAGUAGCUUAUAAGAGAGCGCAGAAUUGAAGAUUCUGAGGAGGUAAGAAAUUUUGCUUUAAAAUA
rnacentral:tRNA from 1 species